rnacentral:lncRNA from 1 species
UCCUUUUGCCGUUCGAUCUUUCUUCCUCUUGCUUUGCACGUCAGUCCCCCGAGACCUUGUCCGCGAUUUUCUCCAAUUUUUAGGGAUUUCUCCUCUGUAAGUGGUCGCCGUGUGAUUCUAGAUGUCUUCCAGGGCUUCUUCUUCUAGCGGCUCUAGGAGUUCGUCCGUUUCGGUCUCCUAGAGUCCUCAGGCGGUAGAUGAACCGGUAGCUAGAGCUGAACCUCGUUCGAUUUUUACGCCGGACGCCAUUCUUUGUUCUCUGACUCCGGACGAACUCCAACUGAUAAGAGUUCAGUAUAGGAUUCCUUCGGAGUACGAACUGAAACUUCCUGGCCCGUCCGAUCGGGCUAGUGCCCCUCCCCCCGGCUAUUUCUGCCUGUACCAGGAGGCCUUCUGUACCGGACUCCGGCUUCC